rnacentral:piRNA from 1 species
UUUGUAAUGAAUGGAGACUCU